AUACGUAGGUGACAAGCGUUAUCCGGAUUUACUGGGCGUAAAGGGCGUGUAGGCGGUCUUGCAAGUCAGAAGUGAAAUUCCUGAGCUCAACUCGGGCGCUGCUUCUGAAACUGCAGGACUUGAGUGCUGGAGGGGAUAGCGGAAUUCCUAGUGGAGCGGUAAAAUGCGCAGAUAUUAUGAAGAACACCGGUGGCGAAGGCGGCUAUCUGGACAGUCACGUACUCUGGGUCGCGAAAGCGUGGGUAACCAACAGGAUUAGAUCCCCUGGUAGUCCACGCCGUAAACGAUGAAUACUAGGUGUAGUGGGUAUCGACUCCCGCUGUGCCGCAGUUAACACAAUAAGUAUUUCGCCUGGGGAGUACGGCCUCAAGGUUGAAACUCAAAUGAAUUGACGGGG
rnacentral:rRNA from 1 species